rnacentral:rRNA from 1 species
UACGUAGGUCCCGAGCGUUGUCCGGAUUUAUUGGGCGUAAAGCGAGCGCAGGUGGUUUAUUAAGUCUGGUGUAAAAGGCAGUGGCUCAACCAUUGUAUGCAUUGGAAACUGGUAGACUUGAGUGCAGGAGAGGAGAGUGGAAUUCCGAGUGUAGCGGUGAAAUGCGUAGAUAUUCGGAGGAACACCGGUGGCGAAGGCGGCCAACUGGGCUUUAACUGACGCUGAGGCUCGAAAGUGUGGGGAGCAAACAGG